UACGGGGGGAGCAAGCGUUGUUCGGAUUUACUGGGCGUAAAGGGCGCGUAGGCGGCCAGUGCAAGUCAGUUGUGAAAUCUCCGAGCUUAACUCGGAAAGGUCAACUGAUACUGCUCGGCUAGAGUGCGGAAGGGGCAACUGGAAUUCUUGGUGUAGCGGUGAAAUGCGUAGAGAUCUGGAGGAACACCGAUGGCGAAGGCAGCCCCCUGGGCUAACACUGACGCUCAUGCACGAAAGCGUGGGGAGCAAACAGG
rnacentral:rRNA from 1 species